rnacentral:rRNA from 1 species
AAUCUUCGGCAAUGGACGCAAGUCUGACCGAGCAAUGCCGCGUGAACGAAGAAGGUCUUCGGAUCGUAAAGUUCUGUUAUUAGGGAAGAACGAUUAUAAGAGGAAAUGCUUAUAAUGUGACGGUACCUAAUGAGCAAGCCACGGCUAACUACGUGCCAGCAGCCGCGGUAAUACGUAGGUGGCGAGCGUUGUCCGGAAUUAUUGGGCGUAAAGGGUGCGUAGGCGGUCUAUUAAGUCUGGUUUGAAAUUUUGUGGCUUAACCAUAAAAGGUGACUAGAAACUGGUAGACUUGAGUAUAGAAGAGGAAAGUGGAAUUCCAUGUGUAGCGGUGAAAUGCGUAGAUAUGUGGAGGAACACCAGUGGCGAAGGCGGCUUUCUGGUCUAUUACUGACGCUGAUGCACGAAAGCGUGGGUAGCAAACA